rnacentral:rRNA from 1 species
AUUGAACGCUGGCGGAAUGCUCUACACAUGCAAGUCGAACGAUGAAGCCUAGCUUGCUAGGUCGAUUAGUGGCGAACGGGUGAGUAAUAUAUCGGAACGUAUCCAAUAAUGGGGGAUAACUAGUCGAAAGAUUGGCUAAUACCGCAUACGUCCUACGGGAGAAAGCUGGGGAUCGUAAGACCUGGCGUUAAUGGAGCGGCCGAUAUCUGAUUAGCUAGUUGGUGAGGUAAAGGCUCACCAAGGCGACGAUCAGUAGCUGGUCUGAGAGGACGACCAGCAACACUGGAACUGAGACACGGUCCAGACUCCUACGGGAGGCAGCAGUGGGGAAUUUUGGACAAUGGGCGAAAGCCUUAUCCAGCCAUUCCGCGUGAGUGAAGAAGGCCUUCGGGUUGUAAAGCUCUUUCGCAAGGGAAGAACACUUACUUAAUAACACUAAGUGAGGUUGACGGUACCUUGAUAAGAAGCACCGGCUAACUACGUGCCAGCAGCCGCCGUAA